GUGAGGGAAGUAUAAAAUUUUACAUUUCAGUUACAUUGAGAAAAUCCUUGGUAUGGGCCCUUAUA
rnacentral:tRNA from 1 species